UACGGAGGGGGCUAGCGUUGUUCGGAAUUACUGGGCAUAAAGCGCACGUAGGCGGCUUUGUAAGUUAGAGGUGAAAGCCCAGGGCUCAACCCUGGAAUUGCCUUUAAGACUGCAUCGCUUGAAUCAUGGAGAGGUGAGUGGAAUUCCGAGUGUAGAGGUGAAAUUCGUAGAUAUUCGGAAGAACACCAGUGGCGAAGGCGACUCACUGGACAUGUAUUGACGCUGAGGUGCGAAAGCGUGGGGAGCAAACAGG
rnacentral:rRNA from 1 species